AUGACAUCUAGUGUUUCAAUCACUUUUCUUGAUGUUCCUCUCAAGAGAGAAUCUUUUUCUUUCACAGGAGACAAUUUUCUAUGCCCUUUCAAAAUAGUUGGUGAUAAUUAUGCUACAUUUUUAGUAAAGAACAAUAUAGCACUGCUUAUAGCACUUGACCUAUCCGCUGAGUUCUACAUUGCACUAUCGCCUAUACUAAAUUCAUGUCCCAUUCUUCAUUGUAGGAGCUAUCUUCCUUAUCAGAGAAACUUGAAUCACCAAAAGGCAAGUGGGCCAUUGUUUCUUUGA